AGAGUUGAUCUGGCUCAGGAUGAGCGCUGGCGGCGUGCUAUACAUGCAAGUCGAGCGAACAGACAAGGAGCUUGCUCCUUUGACGUUAGCGGCGGACGGGUGAGUAACACGUGGGUAACCUACCUAUAAGACUGGGAUAACUUCGGGAAACCGGAGCUAAUACCGGAUAAUAUUUCGAACCGCAUGGUUCGAUAGUGAAAGAUGGUUUUGCUAUCACUUAUAGAUGGACCCGCGCCGUAUUAGCUAGUUGGUAAGGUAACGGCUUACCAAGGCGACGAUACGUAGCCGACCUGAGAGGGUGAUCGGCCACACUGGAACUGAGACACGGUCCAGACUCCUACGGGAGGCAGCAGUAGGGAAUCUUCCGCAAUGGGCGAAAGCCUGACGGAGCAACGCCGCGUGAGUGAUGAAGGUCUUCGGAUCGUAAAACUCUGUUAUUAGGGAAGAACAUACGUGUAAGUAACUAUGCACGUCUUGACGGUACCUAAUCAGAAAGCCACGGCUAACUACGUGCCAGCAGCCGCGGUAAUACGUAGGUGGCAAGCGUUAUCCGGAAUUAUUGGGCGUAAAGCGCGCGUAGGCGGUUUUUUAAGUCUGAUGUGAAAGCCCACGGCUCAACCGUGGAGGGUCAUUGGAAACUGGAAAACUUGAGUGCAGAAGAGGAAAGUGGAAUUCCAUGUGUAGCGGUGAAAUGCGCAGAGAUAUGGAGGAACACCAGUGGCGAAGGCGACUUUCUGGUCUGUAACUGACGCUGAUGUGCGAAAGCGUGGGGAUCAAACAGGAUUAGAUACCCUGGUAGUCCACGCCGUAAACGAUGAGUGCUAAGUGUUAGGGGGUUUCCGCCCCUUAGUGCUGCAGCUAACGCAUUAAGCACUCCGCCUGGGGAGUACGACCGCAAGGUUGAAACUCAAAGGAAUUAACGG
rnacentral:rRNA from 1 species